CGGAAAAUGGGCGGUAAAUGAAAUACACAGGCGCCAAAUGAAACACAAAAGCAAUCUCUAAGGCGUGUAACAAGGUGAUGGGGCCUGCGGCUUGGGUCGUGUGACAGGGAGGCUCGACUCUUGGGUCUACGGCGUGGCUGUCUUCCUCCGUCUCAUCUACCACAACUUCCCUCCCCAUGUUUCGCCGACUCCGACGGAGAUUGACUUGCAGAGCAAUGGUCCAGCAGGCUGUACAGGGAGGAGCUCCAGCUGCUUACGCCCAAGAAAUGGAGAGGCUAACCGCUAAAGAAUCCCUUCUUCUUGCUUUUAAGGAUUCUGGGGGGUUUU